rnacentral:rRNA from 1 species
UACAGAGGUCUCAAGCGUUGUUCGGAUUCAUUGGGCGUAAAGGGUGCGUAGGCGGCGCGGGUAAGUCGGGUGUGAAAUCUCGGGGCUUAAACCUCCGAAACUGCAUUCGAUACUGCCGUGCUUGAGGACUUGAGAGGAGACUGGAAUUUACGGUGUAGCGGUGAAAUGCGUAGAUAUCGAUAAGGAAGACCAGUGGCGAAGGCGGGUCUCUGGACAGUUCCUGACGCUGAGGCACGAAGGCCAGGGAGCAAACGGG